GACGAACGCUGGCGGCGUGCUUAACACAUGCAAGUCGAACGGAAAGGCCCUGCUUUUGUGGGGUGCUCGAGUGGCGAAAGGGUGAGUAACACGUGAGUAACCUGCCCUUGACUUUGGGAUAACUUCAGGAAACUGGGGCUAAUACCGGAUAGGAGCUCCUGCUGCAUGGUGGGGGUUGGAAAGUUUCGGCGGUUGGGGAUGGACUCGCGGCUUAUCAGCUUGUUGGUGGGGUAGUGGCUUACCAAGGCUUUGACGGGUAGCCGGCCUGAGAGGGUGACCGGCCACAUUGGGACUGAGAUACGGCCCAGACUCCUACGGGAGGCAGCAGUGGGGAAUAUUGCACAAUGGGCGGAAGCCUGAUGCAGCAACGCCGCGGGCGGGAUGACGGCCUUCGGUUUGUAAACCGCUUUCGCCUGUGACGAAGCGUGAGUGACGGUAAUGGGUAAAGAAGCACCGGCUAACUACGUG
rnacentral:rRNA from 1 species